rnacentral:rRNA from 1 species
GAUGAACGCUGGCGGCGUGCUUAACACAUGCAAGUCGAACGAUAAUUUCUCGAGUGUUUUCUUCGGAAUGAUCAUGAAAAAGGAAAGUAGCCAACGGGAGAGUAACCCUUGAGAAACCUGCCUAUCUCAAAGGGAUAGCCCCGGGAAACUGUGAUUUAUACAACCUGAUUCCUAAAAUUUGCAGGAGAGAUUGGCUAACGAUUUAUCGGGGUUAGAUGGUCUGGCGUCUGAUUAGCUAGUUGGUGGGAUAAAAGCCUACCAAGGCAACGAUCAGUAGCCGGAUUGAGAGGUUGAACGGCCACACUGGAACUGAGACACGGUCCAGACUCCUACGGGAAGCAGCAGUGGGGAAUUUUGCACAAUGGAGGAAACUCUGAUGCAGCGACGCCGCGUGAGUGAUGAAGGUCUUCGGAAUGUAAAGCUCUGUCCUUAGUGAAGGUAAUGACAGUAACUAAGAAGCAAGCCCUGGCUAAAUACGUG